AGGCACUGUUCGUGGCCUGUCAGUCUGGCUGUGGCUCACGGGCUCCAUUCCAGUGCGACAGCAAUUCCAACGGCACGUGACUGACUGACUCAUGGCUCUCAGUUUCGGGUCCUGGGGACACAA
ensembl:snoRNA small nucleolar RNA SNORA54